rnacentral:rRNA from 1 species
GACGGACGCUGGCGGCGUGCUUAACACAUGCAAGUCGAACGGAAAGGCCCUGCUUUUGUGGGGUGCUCGAGUGGCGAACGGGUGAGUAACACGUGAGUAACCUGCCCUUGACUUUGGGAUAACUUCAGGAAACUGGGGCUAAUACCGGGUAGGAGCUCCUGCUGCAUGGUGGGGGUUGGAAAGUUUCGGCGGUUGGGGAUGGACUCGCGGCUUAUCAGCUUGUUGGUGGGGUAGUGGCUUACCAAGGCUUUGACGGGUAGCCGGCCUGAGAGGGUGACCGGCCACAUUGGGACUGAGAUACGGCCCAGACUCCUACGGGAGGCAGCAGUGGGGAAUAUUGCACAAUGGGCGGAAGCCUGAUGCAGCAACGCCGCGUGCGGGAUGACGGCCUUCGGGUUGUAAACCGCUUUCGCCUGUGACGAAGCGUGAGUGACGGUAAUGGGUAAAGAAGCACCGGCUAACUACGUG